GACGAACGCUGGCGGCGUGCCUAAUACAUGCAAGUUGAGCGCUGAAGGUUGGUACUUGUACCAACUGGAUGAGCAGCGAACGGGUGAGUAACGCGUGGGGAAUCUGCCUUUGAGCGGGGGACAACAUUUGGAAACGAAUGCUAAUACCGCAUAAAAACUUUAAACACAAGUUUUAAGUUUGAAAGAUGCAAUUGCAUCACUCAAAGAUGAUCCCGCGUUGUAUUAGCUAGUUGGUGAGGUAAAGGCUCACCAAGGCGAUGAUACAUAGCCGACCUGAGAGGGUGAUCGGCCACAUUGGGACUGAGACACGGCCCAAACUCCUACGGGAGGCAGCAGUAGGGAAUCUUCGGCAAUGGACGAAAGUCUGACCGAGCAACGCCGCGUGAGUGAAGAAGGUUUUCGGAUCGUAAAACUCUGUUAGUAGAGAAGAACGUUGGUGAGAGUGGAAAGCUCAUCAGGUGACGGUAACUACCCAGAAAGGGACGGCUAACUACGUG
rnacentral:rRNA from 1 species